ACCGUCGUCGAGUCGUGUUCUAAAUUGUGCAUUAGCGGACGCGUCGUUGCGAAGCGAAAAUCCAACAACAAAAAGCAGAGAAGCAAGAAAGAAAAAAAUUGAGACUAAGCAGAAAAUUUUAAUUGAAAUGCCUAUACGCAGAAAAAUCUUAAUGAAAUGUCAUUAAUAAUUUGAAAAAUAUUCGAUACGUGAAAUAAAUUGAAGAUUUAUCAAACGCGUGCGAAGAUUAAAAUUUGUGAGAAAGUUUGAGGAAAAAUUACGUUUUACCUUCACUUUCGUUUUCACCUCCCCAAAAGAAACUCGAUUCUAACCACACUCUUACAUACACACAGUAACACACACAUAGUCAAAUACAUAUAUACAUACAGUCAAGUAGACAUUUGUAUACACUAACCAAUACAUACAUAUGUACACAGUGUUAAACAUAUUUAUCGAAGGCAAAAUACAACACCCACACAUUAACGCUGUACGAGUUGUUGUUGCUCCACCUCGAGUGCCCAUAUUUUGAUUCCCGGAAAUUUUGUUGCUGUUGGUUGUUAAACUACCGAGUACCAUAUUCGUGUUUCUAUAACUGCCACACAAUUCGAUUUGGUGAGAAGAGACUAAACAAAAAAAAAAUCAAAAAAUUAAAAGAAUUACGCACAUUUUUCUUUGGUUUUGUGUAACCAACCACAUACCUACCUACAUACGUCAUUUGCGCUCUUCUAACGCCCAAUAGGCCAACUACGCAAAUCCAAGAAACACUUUGAAGUCCAUGCGCAACUCAAGGAAGACAUUCACAAGUCGCUGAAAAAAUAGAAAAUUUGAAAAAUUUGUGCGAAUUUGAAGACGCAUUAAAGCAUUCGGCGCCAUAUUUGACGCAUCCACAACCGGCGGCGCCAUCGUACCCACACAUCCCAAAGAGAGACUAUCCUCUCCCGCAAUAGCCGUAAAUCUACAUCAAUAGAUACAUACAUACGUAUAUUCACAGCAACAACGACGUCACAACGUACGCAGUGUCUAUUGCAAGCAUUUGUUGUUUGUGUUACGUGUCGCCAUCGUUUCGAUUAACAGAACUAAAUCAGUGUCUGGUUAUUUGGUUUUAAUAAGUUUUUGUGUUGAAAAGUAAAAACCUUCCUUAUGAUCGGAUCAUUUUGGAAUUUGUGUAGAGCGUGCCCAUCAAU